CCUACGGGAGGCAGCAGUAAGGAAUAUUGGACAAUGGACGCAAGUCUGAUCCAGCCAUGCCGCGUGAAGGAUUAAGGCCCUCUGGGUUGUAAACUUCUUUUAUAGGGGACGAAAAAAGGGCUUUCUAGCUCGACUGACGGUACCCUAUGAAUAAGCACCGGCUAACUCCGUGCCAGCAGCCGCGGUAAUACGGAGGGUGCAAGCGUUAUCCGGAUUCACUGGGUUUAAAGGGUGCGUAGGCGGGCAGUUAAGUCAGUGGUGAAAUCUUCGAGCUCAACUCGGAAACUGCCAUUGAUACUAUCUGUCUUGAAUACUGUGGAGGUGAGCGGAAUAUGUCAUGUAGCGGUGAAAUGCUUAGAUAUGACAUAGAACACCGAUUGCGAAGGCAGCUCGCUACACAAAUAUUGACGCUGAGGCACGAAAGCGUGGGGAUCAAACAGGAUUAGAUACCCUGGUAGUCCACGCCCUAAACUAUGAUUACUCGACAUAUGCGAUACACUGUAUGUGUCUGAGCGAAAGCAUUAAGUAAUCCACCUGGAAGUACGACCGCAAGGUUGAAACUUAAAGGAAUUGACGG
rnacentral:rRNA from 1 species